GAUGAAGAACGUAGCGAAAGGCGAUACGUAGUGUGAAUUGCAGAAUUCAGUGAAUCAUCGAAUCUUUGAACGCACAUUGCACCUCUCGGUAUUCCGGGAGGUAUGCCUGUUCGAGCGUCAUUUGUACCCUCAAGCUCUGCUUGGUGUUGGGUGUUUGUUCCGCCUCUGUGUGUGAACUCGCCUCAAAACAAUUGGCAGCCGGCGUACUUGUUUCGGAGCGCAGCACAUUUUGCGAUCCAGAUCAACGUACAGCGGCAUCCAAGAAGCCUUAUUUAACGCUCUUGACCUCGGAUCAGGUAGGGAUACCCGCUGAACUUAAGCAUAUCAAUAAGCGGAGGA
rnacentral:misc_RNA from 1 species